GGACCCGCACAAGUAGUGGAGCAUGUGGUUUAAUUCGAAGAUACGCGCAGAACCUUACCAACACUUGACAUGUUCGUCGCGACUUUAAGAGAUUAAAGUUUUCGGUUCGGCCGGACGAAACACAGGUGCUGCAUGGCUGUCGUCAGCUCGUGUCGUGAGAUGUUGGGUUAAGUCCCGCAACGAGCGCAACCCUCACUUUUAGUUGCCAUCAUUUAGUUGGGCACUCUGAAAGAACUGCCAGUGAUAAGCUGGAGGAAGGUGGGGAUGACGUCAAGUCCUCAUGGCCCUUACGUGUUGGGCUACACACGUGCUACAAUGGUAUCUACAACAGGAAGCAAAACAGCGAUGUUAAGCAAAUCCUUAAAAGUGCGUCGUAGUCCGGAUCGGAGUCUGCAACUCGACUCCGUGAAGUCGGAAUCGCUAGUAAUCG
rnacentral:rRNA from 1 species